UUAUUCAAAAAAUGUUUGUCUUCAAAAAAAAUGCUUUUUCUCAGUAAUAUUGACCAAUUUAGUAACUGCUUAUUACAUUUUUGUGUAUUGCAAGAUUAUGAGGGAAUGCUCUCUAAUAUUUCAGAUACAAUCAUUGACAAAGUUUUAAAAGUCAUGAAUAGGAAAGGUUAUUCACCUUGUCAUUUAGAAUUUUAUUUUGGACGACUGGAGAUGAUAAAAAAACAUAUCCACCGUAUUCCAAGAACAUAUGAAUAUUAUUCUAAUCUAAAUAAGCUUUACCAUGGGAGAGAAAAGAAUUUUGAAAGAAUAAUUGAAAUAAAACAUCUUAAAGUUAUUGGCCAGACGAAUCUUCGGUCCGAUGUUUUGCAGAGAGAGAAAUUUGGUAGUAAACUUGAUUUUAUCUUGUCCAAUAUAUGUUGUCGAUGUUGAAAAAGGAAACUUUAACAAUGGUAAGAAUUAAAAAGCUUCCAACGCAUGUAGACGACACAAAAAUUACAAGAGUUUUGGAAGAGCUCGAAUGCGAAAUCAUUAGACAAUAUCGCGAACGCUUUCGGUAGAAAGGUAGAAUAACAAAUAUUGAAACUGGUGACCGAAUAGCGAUUUGUAAACCAAUAACCAAACCACUUCCAAAACAUAUGAAUAUAUCUCAGUUUGAUGUAACGAUAAUUCAAGAUUGACAAAAUUUGGAAAAUGUACAAGUACGUAAAGAAAAAUAAAUGUAAACGGAUCAUCUUCAACAGUUUAUGUAUGUAAUAUAUAUACAACAAAAGAAUAUCUGAUGGUAGGGAGCUAGAAAUAUAUUACAGAUGUUUGUCUUUUGAAACACAACCUGUUUGUUCGUUUAUAGAAUAUUUGAGUUGUUUUCCUUUUUCGAACUUUCUCAUUUGUUUGUAC
rnacentral:lncRNA from 1 species